rnacentral:rRNA from 1 species
UAAACGACUCUCGGCAACGGAYAUCUCGGCUCACGCAUCGAUGAAGAACGUAGCAAAAUGCGAUACUUGGUGUGAAUUGCAGAAUCCCGUGAACCAUCGAGUUUUUGAACGCAAGUUGCGCCCGAAGCCAUUCGGCCGAGGGCACGUCUGCCUGGGCGUCACGC